UACGUAGGUGGCUAGCGUUGUCCGGAUUCACUGGGCGUAAAGGGUGCGCAGGCGGUUGGGUGUGUCAGAUGUGAAAUCCCGAGGCUCAACCUCGGAACUGCGUCUGAAACUACUCGACUAGAGUACUGGAGAGGGUAACGGAAUUCACGGUGUAGCAGUGAAAUGCGUAGAUAUCGUAAGGAAGACCAGUGGCGAAGGCGGAUCUCUGGACAGUUACUGACACUGAGGCACGAAGGCCAGGGGAGCAAACGGG
rnacentral:rRNA from 1 species